rnacentral:lncRNA from 1 species
AUUCUGCAGCCACCCAUAUGUCACCACCUACCUGCUUUAUCUCUUUGUCACAUUUUCAUCUCUUUCUACUUCAACUUUCCUUUGAUUCAUCCCCAAAAGCUUUCCCCUAGGCCACUUGGCAGUAUUCCCUCACUAGUCAAAAUCUGGUGGGUCUUUCUUGAGUGAGCUCUCAGAGCUGACCUCCUUUUUUAAGACAUCUAUUUGCAUGCAGGUGGCCAUCGAUGACAUCAAUGGUUUUGCAGUAUUGAGCCACAUUUUGGAUUUUACCUAGAAGAUGUGCAGAAUAUAAAUGUUUUCAUGAGAACAAAAUAUACAGCUGGAUGUUUGUCACAAUUCUAAUGUCCCUGCAAAGAUGAGAUGCAUGAAUCACACAGCAAUCUCAUCAAAAAGGAAUUUCUGGAAGGUAAGAAUAAAACACAAUGGACACUAAAACUUUUCUGCCCACGAAAGUAAGAGGCAUUUGAGAAUUGUUCACUUUAUCUUAUGAGGCAUAGGAGAAGAGAAUCCUGGAAAAAGCAAGAAGCAGGAAGAUAAGAGGCAAAGAAGAAGAGAGCCCCACCCACUGGGGCAAGCUGGGGCCCCAGAUGAUGAAACUGUGGCCCAGAAAGUUUAAGGGAUGUGUCAAAUGUCACACAGCUCACAGAUCCAGGGACAUGGCUUAAAUCCAGAUAUCUUGAUUCUAACUUCAGUUGAGGAAGAGAAAGAGUGCUGCCCCACGCUGCCUGAUUUACAACGUGAAGUGAAAUCUUUGAAAAGAAAAAUAAGACAAUGUCACUCAAGCUCUUAUCUGAGGAUUUCCUGGGUUUGAAGACAGAGCUCAAACUCAUACAAGGGGUCAUCUGAGUCUGCAGAUAGGCUUGCUUUAUGCUGCUCCGUCAGAUCUCUUCUAAAGAUUAGUGCGCAAUUCUGGACAUUACAUUUUAAUGGUAACAUGGAUUCAACUAAAGGCCGCAGCAACUUUGCUUUGUACACUCUGUCUCCUGCCAAGAGAGCCCAGGGAAGGGCACAGUGAAUACCAAAAGAAGAAUAAGACGGAGAGCUAUUCCUCAGUGAAGCAGAGUUUACAACCCUUGUUCAUUUUGGCCAAAGGCCAGCUGACUCUAGUUUACCUAACUUUUAGAGAGUUUCAGAAAAAAAAAUGGAAGUAAUAUCCUGCCUUUGAGUAUGGAGACAAAAUUCUAAUAUCAUAAGAGAGUUAUCAGAGGUUAAGGCAGUUAGAAGGGUUCAUUCAUUCAACAUUCAACACAAACUGUGAACACCUAACAUUUGCCAUGUACAAAGAAGGACGUUCUGCCUUGGACUAACAUCCAUUCCUGUGAGGGAAGAGAAGCAGCAGGCCUGGAUGAUGCUGCCGCUUGAAGAAGAAAAUCUUUCUCCUGCCAGAGUCCUGCUUAACCUUAGCUGGGGGAGGUGAUCUUUAACACUAACUAUUAAAGUUUGAGCCCAGAGACUGGUGCUAAUUCACCCUGACCAACCUCUCACACAGCCACAGAAUUCUCCCCUGCACACCAGGGCACCACCACUGGGAGCUGUUGGCAAUAAGGGAGUGGAGAAGGUAGAAUGUGAGAGGCCCUCAGUCAUCCACUCCUCUAGUCAGUAGCCUUCCACUCAUAAAUGGAUAAAAACAAGAGCCAUUUUUAGAUUCAGCAUUUCCUGGGGAGAACAAUUCCAGCCCCAAACUUCAGAUGUCAGCAGAGAACAGUGUGGGCUCUUUAUGUUCCUCAAGAACAUGCACACUGAGCUUCCCCCGCAGCCCCCGAGCACUGCCAGCUGCUGCUGCUGCGAUCCCAGUGUCUGAGUUUGUGACUCGCCGGGAGAUUGUCUGUUCCUGCUGCUUCCAAUAUCGUCUUGGCCUUUAUGAAGGCACAUGCACACGACUGUAGCGGCACCCCUGUCUCCGGCCCAUUGUGGACAUGACUGCUCUUCCAGUGUGGCUCCCCUGUGACAGGCACCUGCUCAGCAACCUACAGAAGCUCCCCCAGCUAUCACAGCUCAAAACUAAAUGUAGACGUGUGACUCUAUGAUACCUUCUGGCUAAAGAUUGCAUCUUUAUCAUCAGAGCAAUAUAUAUCAGGUUGAUUUAUUAACACUCUAUCUCCAAUUGGCUCUAUGCAAUGUGCAGACAAAUAAACACGUAAAUG